UACGUAGGCAGCAAGCGUUGUUCGGAAUUACUGGGCGUAAAGAGUGUGUAGGCGGUGCUCUAAGUUCGGUGUGAAAUCUCCCGGCUUAGCUGGGAGGGUGCGCCGGAAACUGGAGUGCUUGAGCGCGGGAGAGGAAAGCGGAAUUCCUGGUGUAGCGGUGAAAUGCGUAGAUAUCAGGAGGAACACCUGUGGUGUAGACGGCUUUCUGGACCGUAGCUGACGCUGAGACACGAAAGCGUGGGUAGCAAACAGG
rnacentral:rRNA from 1 species